rnacentral:lncRNA from 1 species
AUUCAUAGUAAGGAAAAACAGACAAGGGGAAAGCUAUUAGAUUCUCGGUGCUGCUAAACAGGACACACAAGGACACCAUUUUGUGAUGAUGAUGGUGCUUUAUGCAGCUUCCACCAUUUACAAGAUUUUCCUGUGGUGUGGAACCUCUCAUGAUAAAGCAAAGGAACUAGAAGCUUAUUCCAGUCAAGAUUUCUGAUUUAUCUUGUGGGUUAUGAUUCUGUAUGGUUUCUUUGGUGCUGCAUUAGACCUGAGCUCUGAUUGAAAAUUCUUCCACGCUCGCUACAUUCCAAAACUUUAUCUCCAAUAUGAAUUUCCAGAUGCCUCACAAGGUCUGAGCUCCAUCUGAAGGCUUUCCCAUGCUUGUCACAUUCAUAGGGCUUUUCUCCACUAUGAAUUCUAUGAUGUCGAAUAAAGUGUGAGCUCUGA